GAUGCACUUCGUGACAAGGAUGCGAAGCGAUGAUCCGUCGCAUGUGGAUUACGUGCCAUCAGUGUUCCGACACGAUAGAGAGUCCGAGACCCGGGCUGAACGAAAAGCUAAGCGUUAUGAACGCCACAUGCGCAUAAUGCAUAAGCGAGAAGCUGCAGCUGCUCAGCAGCAUCCCAGGCUCGAU